CACGUAGGCACCAAGCGUUAUCCGGAUUUAUUGGGCGUAAAGAGCUCGUAGGCGGUUCGGUAAGUCGGGUGUGAAAACUCUGGGCUCAACCCAGAGAGGCCACCCGAUACUGCUGUGACUAAAGUGCGGUAGGGGAGCGGGGAAUUCCUGGUGUAGCGGUGAAAUGCGCAGAUAUCAGGAGGAACACCAGCGGCGAAGGCGCCGCUCUGGGCCGUAACUGACGCUGAGGAGCGAAAGCAUGGGUAGCAAACAGG
rnacentral:rRNA from 1 species